rnacentral:rRNA from 1 species
AUUGAACGCUGGCGGCAUGCUUUACACAUGCAAGUCGAACGGUAACAGGGUGCUUGCACCGCUGACGAGUGGCGAACGGGUGAGUAAUGCGUCGGAACGUGCCGAGUAGUGGGGGAUAACGCAGCGAAAGUUGUGCUAAUACCGCAUACGUACUGAGGUAGAAAGUGGGGGACCUUCGGGCCUCACGCUAUUCGAGCGGCCGACGUCUGAUUAGCUAGUAGGUGAGGUAAAGGCUCACCUAGGCGACGAUCAGUAGCGGGUCUGAGAGGAUGGUCCGCCACACUGGGACUGGGACACGGCCCAGACUCCUACGGGAGGAAGCAGUGGGGAAUUUUGGACAAUGGGCGAAAGCCUGAUCCAGCCAUGCCGCGUGUCUGAAGAAGGCCUUCGGGUUGUAAAGGACUUUUGUCAGGGAGGAAAUCCCUAGUGCUAAUAACACUGGGGGAUGACAGUACCUGAAGGAUAAGCACCGGCUAACUACGUGCCAGCCGCCGCGGUAA